rnacentral:rRNA from 1 species
AUUGAACGCUGGCGGCAGGCCUAACACAUGCAAGUCGAGCGAGCGGCGGACGGGUGAGGAAUGUAUGGGGACUGCCCGAUAGAGGGGGAUAACUACUGGAAACGGUAGCUAAUACCGCAUACUAUCGGAUAACCCAUAUGGGUUUAGCUAGUAGGGGAGGUAAUGGAGCACCUAGGCGACGAUCCCUAGCUGGUCUGAGAGGAUGAUCAGACCAACUGGGACUGGGACAAGGCCAAGACUCCUACGGAAGCAGCAGUGGGGAAUAUUGCACAAUGGGCGAAAGCCUGAUGCAGCCAUGCCGCGUGUAUGAAGAAGGCCCUAGGGUUGUAAAGUACUUUCAGUCGGGAGGCGUUACCGACAGAAGAAGCACCGGCUAACUCCGUGCCAGCAGCCGCGGUAAUUC